GAUGAACGCUGGCGGCGUGCCUAAUACAUGCAAGUCGAGCGAACAGACGAGGAGGUUGCUCCUCUGACGUUAGCGGCGGACGGGUGAGUAACACGUGGAUAACCUACCUAUAAGACUGGGAUAACUUCGGGAAACCGGAGCUAAUACCGGAUAAUAUAUUGAACCGCAUGGUUCAAUAGUGAAAGACGGUUUUGCUGUCACUUAUAGAUGGAUCCGCGCCGCAUUAGCUAGUUGGUAAGGUAACGGCUUACCAAGGCAACGAUGCGUAGCCGACCUGAGAGGGUGAUCGGCCACACUGGAACUGAGACACGGUCCAGACUCCUACGGGAGGCAGCAGUAGGGAAUCUUCCGCAAUGGGCGAAAGCUUGACGGAGCAACGCCGCGUGAGUGAUGAAGGUCUUCGGAUCGUAAAACUCUGUUAUUAGGGAAGAACAAAUGUGUAAGUAACUAUGCACGUCUUGACGGUACCUAAUCAGAAAGCCACGGCUAACUACGUG
rnacentral:rRNA from 1 species